GCACGGAGUUAGCCGGAGCUUACAAACAGUACCGUCAUCAUAAGAGAUAUUAACUCUUACUUAUUCUUCCCGUUCUUGCGAAGUUUACAUCCCGAGGGAUUUCAUCCUUCACGCGGCGUUGCUGGGUCAGGCUUUCGCCCAUUGCCCAAAAUUCCCGACUGCUGCCUCCCGUAGGAGUCUGACCCGUAUGUCAGUGUCAGUGUGGCCGACCGCCCUCUCAGGCCGGCUACAGAUCAUCGCCUUGGUAAGCCGUUACCCUACCAACUAGCUAAUCUGCCGCAGGCUCCUCUUCAGACGCGAGGUCUUACGAUCCCCCGCUUUAACAACUGUCACCAUUAGGUGCCGCUGCAUUAUGCGGUAUUAGCAACCGUUUCCGGUUGUUAUUCCCCAUCCAAAGGUAGAUUACCUACGUGUUACUCACCCGUGCGCCACUCUACUCGCCCCCCGAAGGGGACUUUCGCGUUCGACUUGCAUGUCUGAGGCACGCCGCCAGCGUUGAUU
rnacentral:rRNA from 1 species